rnacentral:misc_RNA from 1 species
CUGGCAUGUGGAGAACCCAUAUCAUCCUUAUCCAUUGGCCUGACCCCUGAAUCAAUAUCUUGUUCUGGUGGUAAUGUAUCCAUCAUGAUAUCCUCAUCAAAAUUUACAACAACAUACGGAUCCCUGCCAGUAGGAAUUUGAUCUUGAAGUGUUAUUUCCUCCUGACUCCUAACAUGAUUAUCCGGAGACCCAUCAGGAUAUAUGUCCAAGUCCACAUCCAAGGCAUCAAGGUCAAAUGUUUGUGGCAAAGUAACAGAUUCAAAUUUUGCUGUUGUGGCAUUCUCUGGCAAAUUAACUUCUGUGGAAGUGAAGGCCUUACUUAAGCCAAUAAGAAUGACAUUGCAAUCAUGGUAAAGAUAAUCAACUUUCUUUGAAUAUAUCCGAACAACACCUAACAGCAGGUGGCCGGACAUUCUCAGCGCGAUGGGAACUUCUGGGAACAUGAUGCGAUCAACGGUGGAGGAGAUAUCGGUGGAAGUAUAGUGAGACUUCUUGAGGCGAUGCUGUAGGUGAGCAGCACACCACACUGUCCCGAGUGGGCCCUUCUUGGCCAGAAACGUCUGCGAAUAAAACAUCUUCUACCUCCCUGACUUCC